UCUCUACUAAAAAUACAAAAAAUUAGCCACACAUGGUGGCACACGCCUGUAAUCCCAACUACUUGGGAGUCUGAGGCAGGAGAAUGGCUUGAACCCAGGAGAGCUUGAUGUGUUGCUCUUUGAUAACUAUGAGAGGCUCUCAUAGUUGAAAGGCUCUCUCCAAAGCCUGCAAGUUUGGAAGGAAAGGCUGAGGGCGCAUGGAGGAGUAGGUCUGUGAAGCUUGGGACUAAAGAACACCAAGCAGAAAGCAGGCCCAGGCUGGAGGAUGGGACACCACUCCCCUGAAAAUGGACAGCAAGACUCCUCCGAGUGUGGCCAAAGAACAUCCAAGCAGGGCAGUGCUUUUCAAGACCUGUCACCAGACUCAGAGAACAGAGAUUGGAGCUGGUCAAGGUGAGCUUGGGCCAGGGCGGGGAAAGGGAAGACAGAGGCAAGGGAAGGUGCCGAGGCAGCAGGGGCUGCCUUUAAUUUCCCCGGAGGGCAGAGAAUUGGAGACAUGCCUAUAGAAUCUGGAACAGUUUCAGUUCUUCUGCUUCUCACAGUGGCUACUAGACAUUCUUUCCUUUCCAGAUGGACACAUCAAAGGCUGGGAGAGGAGACUUCUGCUCUUCCCAUGCCUUGACCCCUCUUCUAAGUACUCCAAGCACUCUCUGUUGGAGCUCCUGAAAUCCCUAAGCAGGAUGAGUUCCUUGAUGAGAUCCCAAGGUACACAUGUGCUUAAGGAGACUUGUUUUUUCAAAGAAAAAAAAGACAACAACAAUGUGAACAGUGUCCUUACAUCUCUAAAAAUUUUUUUUUCCUUUGGUUCUCUUCAUGUGGGCAAUAUAUUCCUAACAAAGGGAUAAUGAAAUAACUAAUUUUCUGAGUUGCAUCUUAGGAGCAUCUGCUAUUAGAACUGGCCUGCUAAAAUCUCAUUCUUCCCUUCUAAAUUCUGUCUUCAUCUCCAUUCCUGCCUUCUUUCUCAUUUCUUACACCAAGUAAUUGUACCAGGAUGCACCCUGGUACAGGUGCAUUCACUGCAAUGUUCUGCUCUGGAGGACAGAGCCCACGUUAAAGGGCAUCUGUGUGUUUUCAAUGCAUCUUGUCCCUUUAGUGACCAUUCCUCAGCUAUUGCUAAGUUUCAUUUAAUUGAGCUGGAGUCAUCAUCUGGGAAAGGCAGCGAGACCAACAAGAAUACGAAAGCCUCUCAAUAAACCUUCAAAUGUAGGUGGGAAGGGAGAAAUAGGACUGUAUUAGAGGAUAAUUUCAGAAAGUAGGCAGGAACAAAGGACUUGCAGAACAAACAGACUCCAAGAGAGUCAUGUACGAAGCAGCACCUGCUGAUGACUGCAGAAAUGAAGAGACGGUUAUUAUCUGAAUACUCCAAUAGACUGGCAUAUUGUUCUGGCCCAGUGCCAGGCGCACGUGAUGAUCUGGCUAGGAUUAUUAGAGCUCUUCUGUUAAAGCACAGAUCACAUGUGUGCUGAGAAUGUGUUCUUUCUCUGGAUUUGAGGUGACAGACAGCCAUAUCACAUGCCAUCCCUUUUUCCAUCCUGAUUCCAGCCAGGCAGUAAACCAAAUCCUCACCCAGUCUGUCUCCACCAUGUGGUUUCCCUAGCCAGCUGAACAAAAUAUUUUCAGAAUGUGGAAUGUAAACAAAGUUCCUACUGUUAGCAAUUCUGUGUCAUUUACUUGUGGUUUAUUUUAUUUUACUUUAAGUCACAUUUAAAUUCAAAAGAUUGCCAGCCUGCAUGAUGCAUGUAAACAAAUCAGAAAUAUAGAUUAGAAUUGCAACUGAUUAGUUAGCUGUGAACGUGUCUGUUCAAAUGGAAGAAGGGAGAGGAAAAUCUAUUAUGCUCCUGGGAUAUUGCGUCUCCAAAGGAAAUUCAUUUGUGAGAAGGGCUUUAAAAGCAAUGACUUCCGUCAUUUGUGUUUUCUACACACUGGUUACUGUAAAAGCUAAUAGAAUACCUAGGCGGAAUCUCUGCUUGGGCUCACGUAACACAGCUUCACAAGGAAACACAGGGAGCAAUUGCAAGAGGGAAAAGGAAGACCUGCAAAUACACCUUAGCAGACGGUGAUCACAAAAUAUGUGUCCCUCGCACUACUGGAGAUGUUUUUCAAGAAAAUUCUAUUUUCCAGGUUUCUUAUUUUUGAUUGUUUAAAAGUAUAUGUCUACAAUGCAUGAUGCUGAAUGAUAAAGGUUGUAUGAACCUUCUGAUAUUCACUAACAAUCUGAAUCAAAGUCGGGCAUGGUAGCCUCAGCCCUUAGGGAAGCCAAGGCAAGCAGAUUGCUUGAGCCUUUUAGUUAGAGACCAGCCUGGACAACACAAUAAGACCCUGUCUUUACAAAAAAAUAAGAAAAAAAAAAUUAGCCAGGAGUGGUGGCAUGUACCUGUAGUACCAGCUACUUAGGAGGCUGAGGUGGGAGGAUCACUUGAGCCCAGAAAGUCAAGGCUGCAGUGAACUAUGAUCACGCCACUGCACACUACUGUGGAUGACAAAGUGAGACCCUGUCUCGAAAAAGAAAAAAAAAAGGAAUCCAAAUCAAGAUUUGCCUUUGUUUAUACAUUUCAUCUAAAAUAUCCUCUGUCUUCCAAAUCAAUAGGGAGCUAAAGUGGGCAUAACAACUUUACUAUUAGGUAAAUAUUAGUAAAAUAUUUACCCACAGACCUACACGAGUAAUGUUUUCCUAGCACAGUGCCAUGAACUAUACAUUUUCUAAAAUCUUGUUGACACUUUAAUUACACCAUCCACCUUGUUUAUAUUAUUUGGAAGCUGGUAAGCUAAUGUGAAAAUUAACUGAAUGAUACAUUUCUUUGAGUUCUUCUUGGUAUCUUCUGAAUUGUGGUCAAGUAGCAAUCCUAGGACCCUAGAUGAGCCAGGCAGCAGCAGACGCAGAUGCCGGUGAACUCACUGCAUUUCAUCUUCAGUACUACCUUCUUCACUCAAAAGUAAUGGCUCACCCAAGGGGUCUUAUUACACUUUCUCAAGUUAUAGCAGCUGUAUCUUGAUUCACAAAAGAAUCUUCCUCAGAAUAAAGCCCCGUGGAAAAAGGUUGUGUGCCCUACAAGAUUAGGCACCUGGAGGAUUGGAAGAACAAUCACCUUGAACCACACAUUAUUUGGAUCAUUUGGCAAAAGGAAAAGCAACUUCCUCUAACGGGUGAGAUUUGAAAAGUUUUCAUCAGAGAAGGAGAAAUAGAUAGCUCAAGAAUGGGAACUUAAGUCAUGCGAGAGGUAAGAGAGAGGAUAAUCUGUGUUUUGAGAUCAGUGGCUCUGCAGAUAGAUUUUGGUUCCAAGCCUGAGCAUUCCUACAUAGAAGAGUAAAACUUCAUUCUUAAAUAAAGCCCUGGAGCCAAAUAGAACAUUCCUGCAGGGUGACAAAUAGAAGCUUAAUCUUCCCAUACAUUUCUGAUUUCUUUUAUAAACAAAAAUUUCAACUCAAUCUUUCAUUAAUUUGUUCUGAAAACAAAUCAUUUAUGAUCAGUUGUGGAAUAUUUAUUGUCAAUCUUGUUGAGUUACUGUAGCACAUUUGUCUAUGUUUUCUGUGUCCAGAAUCUCCUAUUUUUGGCUGUAUGCCCCACUUUUUGUUUCUUAUAGUGCAUGCAUGAACAAUAUGGAAGUCUGACUUUAAUUAGGCAUUCACUUGUAAGCCACAUCUUGAGCAUUUCAUUGAGAACUGUUUUCAUUGUGAAUAAUUCUUACUGAAAGAAGAGUGUUGCUUAGCUCUAACUUGAAUCUCCUUGAUCUAAAAUUAAAACCAUGCUUGUCUAUUUUAUUAUGAGGAGAAACAUUCAUGCUUCCUACUUAUAAUUUCAACUUGGCUCAUAGAAGAAAUGGCAACUACCUACACCCCAUCAAAGAGUUUUGGGGAGGGAUAUUGAAGAGCUUGACAUCCAUUUGACUGCCUUUCACACAUGAUGUAGUGUUUCUACAUCUGUUUUGCCCAAUCGGUUUUGCCCAAAUUCUUCAUUUCCUGAUAGACUAGAAGAAACCAUGUUCUUUGCUGCUUCCUGUGCCCUGAGUGUGACAAUGUGCAGUAAGACCUACUUGGUACUCCUCCCCCAAGGGUACUCUAGGGACUGGAAAUAUUAAAAAAAAAAUUGGUGGGCCAGGAGCCCUACUUUGGCCCCUAGUUGGAAUUACGUAUCCCUAACAUUUUUCCUGCACUGGAGAUUUAAAAAAGCGGGAGAGAAGAUUUGUUGAUCUGGCCAUUUUACGAAAUGUGCCUGUUGAUCCCCAUAAGAUAGGUCUGCAUUGAGUGCAUCCAUCAGAGGUUGAAGAAGGUAGAUGUUGCAGCCUCCAACAUCUAACAUCUAUAUAUUGUUG
rnacentral:lncRNA from 1 species